rnacentral:rRNA from 1 species
UGCUAGACCGAAUCUGACGCUGAGGGACGAAAGCUAGGGGAGCGAAUGGGAUUAGAUACCCCAGUAGUCCUAGCCGUAAACGAUGGAGACUAGGUGUUGCCUGUAUCGACCCGGGCAGUGCCGAAGCCAACGCGUUAAGUCUCCCGCCUGGGGAGUACGCACGCAAGUGUGAAACUCAAAGGAAUUGACGGGGGCCCGCACAAGCGGUGGAGUAUGUGGUUUAAUUCGAUGCAACGCGAAGAACCUUACCAGGGCUUGACAUCCCGCGAAUCUUCCCGAAAGGGGAGAGUGCCUACGGGAACGCGGAGACAGGUGGUGCAUGGCUGUCGUCAGCUCGUGUCGUGAGAUGUUGGGUUAAGUCCCGCAACGAGCGCAACCCUCGUCCUUAGUUGCCAUCCUUAAGUGGGGCACUCUAGGGAGACUGCCGGUGAUAAACCGGAGGAAGGUGGGGAUGACGUCAAGUCAUCAUGCCCCAUAUGUUCUGGGCUACACACGUACUACAAUGGUCGGGACAACGAGCAGCCAACUUGCGAAAGCGAGCUAAUCUCUUAAACCCGGCCUCAGUUCAGAUUGCAGGCUGCAACUCGCCUGCAUGAAGGAGGAAUCGCUAGUAAUCGCAGGUCAGCAUACUGCGGUGAAUCCGUUCCCGGGCCUUGCACUCACCGCCCGUC